UCUCAUGCUGAUGGUUAGGUGUUCUUUUGCCCCCCAUAUAGUGACACUUGCUGCCAACAAGAGAGGAAGACAAUGACUAAAACAAGUAGCUGUGUUCCAACCUAGGAUGUAACCUGAACUUCCCACCACAGCUAAACUAUAUGGGGAAAUCUGUCGGUGGUGACCCUUGUGGGGAGGAUUAGAAGGGAAUAUCAUGCUCUGGAACUUCAGUUUAAUCCAUGUAUUGUAAUUAUUACUUUCUUUUUUAAUCCAAGGAGCCAUUUGGACCGCACACUCUCCUCUUUGUAAGUACCUUCUUUCUGAAUAGAUCCACUAAUAUGUCAGUCUACCAGAAUAUUAAGGAUAAAGAUAAUGAACUUGCAGUGUUGAAGUUUACCAAUCUCUUGUUCAUCUCAUUCUCUACCAAACUUGUAAGUUUGUUCUUGAUGAAUCCUGGCUUGAGCCCUGCCAGGGAUCUUACAAUAAUUUAUGUGCCAAAUAAAUGUCCUGUGCUAGUAUUUUCCAUAUCCAUGUAUCGAUUUCAAAUGUAACUUUUAAUGUUUCAUGUGUUAGUGGUACCCCUGCAACUCAGUUUAAUGGUACUUACUGGUUGCCUUCAAUAUAGGUCAAUGAUACAGUUGGAACACUGGCUGGAAGUAGAUACUGCAAUAAUGAUGUUGUUGCUGCUGUAAUCUUGGGUACUGGAACAAAUGCUGCAUAUGUAGAGCGUGCACAUGCAAUUCCUAAGUGGCAUGGUCUUCUACCUAGAUCAGGAGAGAUGGUGAGCUUUCUUAUUGUGGCUAUUGUUUUCUUUCUUUUGGAUUAUUUAUUAUUCUUGUUUUGAGGAAUAAAAGAGAGAACUCAAUAAUAAAAAAAUGCCCAUAGGCCUGAAAAUACAGGAAAAAAAAAAAAAGGAAUUCCAGAGAUAAAUGCAUCACGGCAUGUGAGUUCACUCUCCGUGCUUUUCUCAAUGGACGCUUAGAUCUUUCUCAAGUUGAAAAUGUUGAAAAACUCAUUUCAGCUAUAUCUGUUGCUGCUGCAGAAGCUGCAUUGGCAGGGAUCCAGGUAUCUGCUUGAUCUCGUAACCCAGUUCUGGUGUGCUAUAUUUUGGUUGGAAGAAGUUGAGCUUCGUACUCGGUUCUCACUCAUGAGAUUUGUUUUUGGGACUCUUUUUACUAGCCAACUAACCGAUAUCUUCUCCCUGUCAACGAUUUCUGUUGUGCUUUUGAUCUUUUGCUUAUGUAAUUCUCAGCAGAGAGUCUGAUGAGCAGGCUUUGUAUCAAUAUUCUAUGAUAGGGUGGGUUUUCUACUUUAGUCAAAUCAUUGAGAACACAGUGCAUCGAGUUGCUUGCAGAAAAAUAGCUUCUUGUGGUUUUCAGUUAUAUUGAUGACCUAUGUGUAAUAAAGAAACACAUUCAUGCAGGUUAUGGGGCAUAUCUACUAUCACAUUCUAGCAACCGGUUUGAAUGGUUACAUGGCAACUGUAACCAACCCGAAAAAUCCAUCUCAUGUAGUUUUUCUAUUUGUAUUCUGAUUUUAAGAGGUUCUUAUCAUGGUCGUAACUGCCAUUUUUAUUUAUACUUUAGUUAUAUCGACAUGAUGAUAAUAACAUGGAAAACAUGGGAAUUCAUGGA